GAGUUUGAUCAUGGCUCAGAUUGAACGCUGGCGGCAGGCCUAACACAUGCAAGUCGAGCGAGAAAGCACUUCGGUGUGAGUAGAGCGGCGGACGGGUGAGUAACGCGUAGGAAUCUACCUAGUAGUGGGGGAUAACAUGUGGAAACGCAUGCUAAUACCGCAUACGCCCUACGGGGGAAAGAGGGGGACAUUUGCCUCUUGCUAUUAGAUGAGCCUGCGUAAGAUUAGCUAGUUGGUGGGGUAAGGGCCUACCAAGGCGACGAUCUUUAGCUGGUCUGAGAGGAUGAUCAGCCACACUGGGACUGAGACACGGCCCAGACUCCUACGGGAGGCAGCAGUGGGGAAUAUUGGACAAUGGGCGCAAGCCUGAUCCAGCCAUGCCGCGUGUGUGAAGAAGGCUCUAGGGUUGUAAAGCACUUUCAAUAGUGAGGAAAAGUUGGUGGUUAAUACCCAUCAGCCGUGACGUUAACUAUAGAAGAAGCACCGGCUAACUCCGUGCCAGCAGCCGCGGUAAUACGGAGGGUGCGAGCGUUAAUCGGAAUUACUGGGCGUAAAGCGAGCGUAGGCGGUUGUCUAAGCCAGAUGUGAAAGCCCUGGGCUUAACCUAGGAACUGCAUUUGGAACUGGGCAACUAGAGUAUAGGAGAGGAGGGUAGAAUUUCAGGUGUAGCGGUGAAUGCGUAGAGAUCUGAAGGAUACGGGUGGCGAAGGCGGCCCUCUGGGCUAUACUGACGCU
rnacentral:rRNA from 1 species